AGUUACUUGAGGACACUAGUUUCCUGGCAUGUAAACCAGUAGCAUUGCCUAAGGAUCCUAAGUUGAUACUCAGUUCCUUCGAAGGUGAACUCAUUGCUAAUGCUUCCAUGUAUAGAAGAUUGUUGGUCGCCUUCUUUACCUAACUAUAUCAAGGCCGGACAUUACCUUUGUUUUUCACAAGUUGAGCCAAUUUAUGUCUCAACCUCGGCAACCACAUCUUGAUGCAUCACAUCACCUCUUACAAGAUAUCAAGGCAAGUCCAGGCCAAGUAAUUCUAUUUUUUGCUCAUUCUUCUUUUCAAUUAUGAGCAUUUGCUGAUGCGGACUGGGGUACUUGUCUUGAUACAAGGAAGUCAAUUACAGGUUUUUGUGUCAAGGCCGAACAUUACCUUUGUUGUUCACAAGUUGAGCCAAUUUUUGUCUCAACCCAGGCAACUGCAUCUUGAUGCAGCACAUUACCUCUUACAAUAUAUCAAGGCAAGUCCAGGCCAAGGAAUUCUAUUUUUGCUCAUUCUUCUUUUC
rnacentral:lncRNA from 1 species